AAAAAAAAAAAAAAAAAAGCAAACACCCCAAAAGUCCUUGGCGGCUGCUCCCUGGGUGGAAAGGCUCGGCACUGGCCUCCCCGCCUCUCCGUGCGGAGUCGCUGGGAAAGAGACGUCCCCCCCUCGUUCCCCUGGGAGCUGACACCGCGUGUGUUCCGUGCCUGAGUUUGGGGGAAGGUUUAUCCAAAUUGGGCUGAGCCAGUUCUUAGCCAUGCAAUGUAUAGUAUUCAGAAAGACCAGGAUGUUCAAAUAUUGCUUCAUGACCCAUAUGCUGGUUUCUAAGCAGCUGAAUGCAAGUCACACAAGGCACCCCAUCAGCUGGGUACACAAUCACACUUUCCCUCUACACUUCAUUGACAUGUCAGUCUGAGUGCAGCACCUCCUGUUACAUUGGUGCUUUUCAAAAUCUUGCAAGUAACUUAAAAAAAUACAAUCUGUGUUUCUAAAAAGAUGUUGAUUUGCAUACGCAAAUAUGGACCCUGAUUUUGCAAAGAUUCAAGCACAUGGUUAAUUUUAUACAGUGUGAGUAAUCUUACUGAUUUCAGUAGGACUAGUCAGAGUGCAUAAAGUUAAGCAUGUGCAUAAGUCUUUGUAGAUUUGGCAUCAUGGUUUGUUGGAUAUUAUAAACGACCUAUUUUACUGCUGUGAACACCUAUAUAAUUUGAGGAUUCUAAAUGUAUGUAUAAACAGUCUGACAUAAAUUCUUCAUAGUCUCUAAUGAGAUGAAGAUUAUGCCUGCUGCCACUGGAAAGAAUACUGCAACAAUGAGAUUCUCCAAGCACUACAUUUCUUAGGGAGAGUUGAAGUCUUUUGGACAAAGUCCCAGAUGGUUGGAGUCUUUUGGCCUUUCAUUACACCUGGAAUAUGUGUUAUAUAAUAAUGCUCCCAAAGAGCAUUGCUUGUUAUUUCUCAUUGUUUAAAUAUUUUGCAAGUAUUGUAUAAACACUAUAUUUGACAUUACCCUUCCUUUUACUCAAGGGUAUGGCAGAAGCAGGAAACUCAGAAAUAGGGUUGAGUUUUUGCACAUUCAGCGAUGAAUUUGGUGUUAGCUUGACAGAUGUUGGAGGAAAUGGAACACCUCUUCUUUCCAUCUGAGCCAUCAGAUUGACAGGCUACAAUAUUCAUUUGUCAUCAACAUGCACCGAGAUCCUGAGCAAGCUUCCCAUGAUGUCAGUAGAAAGGCUUCCAUUGACUUUGUUGGGAGUUGGAUCAGGCCCCAUUUUCCAUUUUCAAUUAUGUCUCAAACAUGAUAUUUGUAUACCAGCAAUCAGCAAAGUGUGCAGAGUUUGCAGCUUUCUCACCCAUAUUUGGCUCUAGUCUGUAUGGCUCAAGAAUUGUAUAAAUAGGACAAAAUCAUGGCCCAGUCUCCAUAGUUUAAUUAAUUACGUAUAGGUGGUCUCACAGCUAGAGU